rnacentral:rRNA from 1 species
UUAAAUUGAAGAGUUUGAUCAUGGCUCAGAUUGAACGCUGGCGGCAGGCCUAACACAUGCAAGUCGAACGGUAACAGGAAGAAGCUUGCUUCUUUGCUGACGAGUGGCGGACGGGUGAGUAAUGUCUGGGAAACUGCCUGAUGGAGGGGGAUAACUACUGGAAACGGUAGCUAAUACCGCAUAACGUCGCAAGACCAAAGAGGGC